rnacentral:rRNA from 1 species
AGGACGAACGCUGGCGGCGUGCUUAACACAUGCAAGUGGAGCGACGAACCAGGGCUUGCCCUGGGGCAGAGCCGCGAACGGGUGAGUAACACGUGGGUUACCUGCCUCGAUGACCGGGACAACCCGAGGAAACUCGGGCUAAUACCGGAUGUGCCCGCAAGGGGAAAGGAAGCUUCGGCCUCCGCAUCGAGAUGGGCCCGCGGCCCAUUAGCUUGUUGGUGAGGUAACGCUCACCAAGGCUUCGAUGGGUAGC